CGGACUGCUUUGAUACAUGUGUGAGCAAUGAGUCAUCUCUUGCACAUCACAUUGGAGUCCAACAUAAAUUACGUCUUCUGAUGACUGUGGUGUAUGAAGUUACAAACCACGGACAGAUACGAGGCGAACAAAC
rnacentral:snoRNA from 1 species